AGUGAACGCUGGCGGUAGGCCUAACACAUGCAAGUCGAACGGCAGCACAGUAAGAGCUUGCUCUUACGGGUGGCGAGUGGCGGACGGGUGAGGAAUACAUCGGAAUCUACUUUUUCGUGGGGGAUAACGUAGGGAAACUUACGCUAAUACCGCAUACGACCUACGGGUGAAAGCAGGGGAUCUUCGGACCUUGCGCGAUUGAAUGAGCCGAUGUCGGAUUAGCUAGUUGGCGGGGUAAAGGCCCACCAAGGCGACGAUCCGUAGCUGGUCUGAGAGGAUGAUCGGCCACACUGGAACUGAGACAGGGUCCAGACUCCUACGGGAGGCAGCAGUGGGGAAUAUUGGACAAUGGGCGCAAGCCUGAUCCAGCCAUACCGCGUGGGUGAAGAAGGCCUUCGGGUUGUAAAGCCCUUUUGUUGGGAAAGAAAAGCAGCAGGUUAAUACCCCGCUGUUCUGACGGUACCCAAAGAAUAAGCACCGGCUAACUUCGUG
rnacentral:rRNA from 1 species